AUUGUUUUCAUGACAUUGACUUAAAUCUUAUGAACAGCAGCUUUUUAAAGGGAGUUAUAUUAAAUGGAUUUUUGGAGCAGGGAGUCGGAAUAGGGGCUUGCUCCGUCUGCUCCACGCAUCGACCUGGUAUUGCAGUACUUCCAGGAACGGUGCACCCCCA
ensembl:snRNA U2 U2 spliceosomal RNA